rnacentral:rRNA from 1 species
UACGAAGGGGGCUAGCGUUGCUCGGAAUCACUGGGCGUAAAGCGCACGUAGGCGGCUUUCUAAGUCAGGGGUGAAAUCCUGGAGCUCAACUCCAGAACUGCCUUUGAUACUGGAGUGCUUGAGUCCGGGAGAGGUGAGUGGAACUGCGAGUGUAGAGGUGAAAUUCGUAGAUAUUCGCAAGAACACCAGUGGCGAAGGCGGCUCACUGGCCCGGUACUGACGCUGAGGUGCGAAAGCGUGGGGAGCAAACAGG